rnacentral:rRNA from 1 species
AUGGAGGAGGUGGAGGCCGGUGGCACGAGGGGAGAAGAGGAGGACCAACCGGCGACCAGAGGCCAGUCCUCUAUGUGCGGGCGCCAGGGAGCACGCCCUGGGCUAGAUCUUGAUGGGCCCUCACCCUUCCUACUUGAGUUGUUGGUCGUUGCUGUGAGGGUGAGACGAGCUCGGACGGUGUCCGACGAGCAAAUGACGCCCCUGGCCGAUGGCGCCGCCUCCAUGAGGGCAAGUCAACUCCUUCACCACGCCGCCGGCCUCCUCCCUCUCCCUGUAGCCUCACCCAACCCACCAUCAGGCUCGCCUAACCUGCGCCCGAUCUGA